AUUGAACGCUAGCGGGAUGCCUUACACAUGCAAGUCGAACGGAGUGGCGCACGGGUGAGUAAUGUAUCGGAACGUGCACAGUAGAGGGGGCUAACUACGCGAAAGCGUAGCUAAUACCGCAUACUAUUGGAGCGGCCGAUAUCGGAUUAGCUAGUUGGUGGGGUAACGGCUCACCAAGGCGACGACCCGUAGCUGGUUUGAGAGGACGACCAGCCACUCUGGGACUGAGACACGGCCCAUACUCCUACGGGAGGCAGCAGUGGGGAAUUUUGGACAAUGGGGGAAACCCCGAUCCAGCCAUCCCGCGUGUGCGAUGAAGGCCUUCGGGUUGUAAAGCACGUUUGGCAGGAAAGCGGUACCUGCAGAAUAAGCACCGGCUAACUACGUGCCAGCCGCCGCGGUAAUAC
rnacentral:rRNA from 1 species